rnacentral:rRNA from 1 species
GAUGAACGCUGGCGGCGUGCUUAACACAUGCAAGUCGAACGGACUUAACUUGAAGCCUAGCGAUAGUUAAGUUAGUGGCGGACGGGUGAGUAACGCGUGGGUAACCUGCCUUAUACAGGGGGAUAACACUUAGAAAUAGGUGCUAAUACCGCAUAAGCGCACAGUUUCGCAUGAAACAGUGUGAAAAACUCCGGUGGUAUAAGAUGGACCCGCGUCUGAUUAGCUAGUUGGUGAGGUAACGGCUCACCAAGGCGACGAUCAGUAGCCGGCCUGAGAGGGUGAACGGCCACAUUGGGACUGAGACACGGCCCAA